UGGUGGAGUGAUUUGUCUGCUUAAUUGCGAUAACGAACGAGACCUUAACCUGCUAAAUAGCCCGGUUCACGUUCGUGGGCCGCUGGCUUCUUAGAGGGACUAUCGGCUCAAGCCGAUGGAAGUUUGAGGCAAUAACA
rnacentral:rRNA from 1 species